CCCUUAGAUGUUCUGGGCUGCACGCGCGCUACACUGAUGCACUCAUCGAGUUUAUGACCUUGUCCGAUAGGAUUGGGUAAUCUUCUUAAAAUGCAUCGUGAUGGGGAUAGAUUAUUGCAAUUAUUAGUCUUGAACGAGGAAUUCCUAGUAAGCACAAGUCAUCAGCUUGUGUUGAUUACGUCCCUGCCCUUUGUACACACCGCCCGUCGCUCCUACCGAUUGAAUGUUCCGGUGAGCUCUUCGGACUGCGCGGUCUGCAGUUUCUGCGUUCCGUGCGGAAAGUUGCGCAAACCUUAACAUUUAGAGGAAGGAGAAGUCGUAACA
rnacentral:rRNA from 1 species